rnacentral:rRNA from 1 species
AUCCUUUGCUGAGGAUACGGUUAACGGAGCGAAAGCGACGUUCAACCGCAAAAGAAGCAGAGGGGGCUUAGUGGUGGGGUGACUGCGUACCUUUUGUAUAAUGGGUCAGCGACUUAUAUUCUGUAGCAAGGUUAACCGAAUAGGGGAGCCGGAGGGAAACCGAGUCUUAACCGGGCGUUAAGUUGCAGGGUAUAGACCCGAAACCCGGUGAUCUAGCCAUGGGCAGGUUGAAGGUUGGGUAACACUAACUGGAGGACCGAACCGACUAAUGUUGAAAAAUUAGCGGAUGACCUGUGGCUGGGGGUGAAAGGCCAAUCAAACCGGGAGAUAGCUGGUUCUCCCCGAAAGCUAUUUAGGUAGCGCCUCGUGAAUUCAUCUCCGGGGGUAGAGCACUGUUUCGGCUAGGGGGCCAUCCCGGCUUACCAACCCGAUGCAAACUGCGAAUACCGGAGAAUGUUAUCACGGGAGACACACGGCGGGUGCUAACGUCCGUCGUGAAGAGGGAAACAACCCAGACCGCCAGCUAAGGUCCCAAAGUCAUGGUUAAGUGGGAAACGAUGUGGGAAGGCCCAGACAGCCAGGAUGUUGGCUUAGAAGCAGCCAUCAUUUAAAGAAAGCGUAAUAGCUCACUGGUCGAGUCGGCCUGCGCGGAAGAUGUAACGGGGCUAAACCAU